rnacentral:ribozyme from 14 species
ACAUAUUUAUUGAAUAUAACAGCAAUAAUAAUUAAAUAAUGAUCAUCAUUGGCGCAGAAGCCAUCACCAAUUGCCAUGAUUCUCCUCCCCCUUUUUCCCUCCUGUUUUUUUUUUUUCCCUUUCCUUUUCCUUCUCCUUGUUUUCACAUCACCAGAAAAAAAGAG